UCAGUGAAUCAUCGAAUCUUUGAACGCACAUUGCGCCCGCCAGCAUUCUGGCGGGCAUGCCUGUUCGAGCGUCAUUUCAACCCUCGAGCUCGUCUUCAU
rnacentral:rRNA from 1 species